UACGUAGGGUGCGAGCGUUAAUCGGAAUUACUGGGCGUAAAGCGUGCGCAGGCGGUUCGUGAUGUCUGAUGUGAAAGCCCCGGGCUCAACCUGGGAACUGCAUUGGAAACUAGCGGGCUGGAGUGUGGCAGAGGGGGGUGGAAUUCCACGUGUAGCAGUGAAAUGCGUAGAGAUGCGGCGGAACACCGAUGGCGAAGGCAGCCCCCUGGGCUGAGAUUGACGCUCAGGCACGAAAGCGUGGGGAGCAAACAGG
rnacentral:rRNA from 1 species